UCUGUAGAAAUAAAAAUCUGACCAGG
rnacentral:piRNA from 1 species